UCCUACGGGAGGCAGCAGUGGGGAAUAUUGCACAAUGGGGGAAACCCUGAUGCAGCCAUGCCGCGUGUGUGAAGAAGGCCUUCGGGUUGUAAAGCACUUUCAGUAGGGAGGAAGGUAGUGUAGUUAACACCUGCAUUAUUUGACGUUACCUACAGAAGAAGCACCGGCUAACUCCGUGCCAGCAACCGCGGUAAUACGGAGGGUGCGAGCGUUAAUCGGAAUUACUGGGCGUAAAGCGCAUGCAGGCGGCCUGUUAAGUCAGAUGUGAAAGCCCGGGGCUUAACCUCGGAAUUGCAUUUGAAACUGGCAGGCUAGAGUCUUGUAGAGGGGGGUAGAAUUUCAGGUGUAGCGGUGAAAUGCGUAGAGAUCUGAAGGAAUACCAGUGGCGAAGGCGGCCCCCUGGACAAAGACUGACGCUCAGAUGCGAAAGCGUGGGGAGCAAACAGGAUUAGAUACCCUGGUAGUCCACGCCGUAAACGAUGUCUACUUGGAGGUUGUGGCCUUGAGCCGUGGCUUUCGGAGCUAACGCGUUAAGUAGACCGCCUGGGGAGUACGGUCGCAAGAUUAAAACUCAAAUGAAUUGACGGA
rnacentral:rRNA from 1 species